rnacentral:snRNA from 1 species
AGAUGUGAGGAUGAUCUGGCUGCGACAUCUGUCACCCCAUUGAUCACCAGGGUUGAUUUGGCUGAUCUGGCUGGCUGGGCAGGUGUCCCCUUUCUCCCUCACUCCAUGUGUCCUACCUGAAGCUGCAUGCUCAGUGGAAGAAGACGACCUCCCAGAUGUAGAAGGAGCGUCCUGAGGUCUCCAGUCUUCAGUACCGGGUAUACAAUAGCUGUACUCCCCUACUAGAACCUCCAAGCAAGUUCAAGGUCCAUUUGUAGGAGAACGUAGGGUAAUAUAGUUCUCUUGUGGUUGCCUUUCCAAGUGAUACCCUUCCUCUGAUUUCUU